GACGUAGGGAGCAAGCGUUGUCCGGAAUUACUGGGCGUAAAGAGCUCGUAGGCGGGAUCGUAAGUCUUAGAGUAAAUCUCACGGCUCAACCGUGGGGCCUUCUGAGAUACUGCGAUUCUUGAGGAUGUCAGAGGAAAGUGGAAUUCCCGGUGUAGCGGUGAAAUGCGUAGAUAUCGGGAGGAAUACCAGUGGCGAAAGCGGCACCCUGGCGUCGUACUGACGCACAUGUGCGAAAGCGUGGGGAGCGAACGGGAUGAGAUACC
rnacentral:rRNA from 1 species